rnacentral:rRNA from 1 species
AUGCCGCGUGCAGGCCAUGGGCUGCCGUCGCCGCAUAGGGAGGAAGCUGCACCGUGCACUGGCGGAGGGAGAAGCCCCGCGUUUCCAGUUGGUCCAGGGCCGCGACACCACGCGCCAGGAGAUAGUGGUCGAGGGCAUCGCCUUGCCGUUGUCAUGGUCUGCGACUUCACUGAGGUUGCCGCCUGCGCGUGCAGGCUGCAGUCCUCGGGCGUGUCACACCUGAUACAAGUGUACCAGUGGACACAUGAGAGGUGA